rnacentral:rRNA from 1 species
UACGAAGGGGGCUAGCGUUGUUCGGAUUUACUGGGCGUAAAGCGCACGUAGGCGGAUUGUUAAGUCGGGGGUGAAAUCCUGGAGCUCAACUCCAGAACUGCCUUCGAUACUGGCAAUCUCGAGUCCGGAAGAGGUAAGUGGAACUCCUAGUGUAGAGGUGGAAUUCGUAGAUAUUAGGAAGAACACCAGUGGCGAAGGCGGCUUACUGGUCCGGUACUGACGCUGAGGUGCGAAAGCGUGGGGAGCGAACAGG